GAGGGCCUUUAAUGCCGUGUGAAACCUGCGGGUUUGUCUGGGGAACGCAUUGGCGCGUUACGCCGCAUCCUGGGAAUCGGUGGCGCUCGACCUUCGGGCAGUGCUGCGCCGCACCCCGGGAAUCGCCAGUCUAGACCCAACAGGUGACACCGCGUUUGGAGCUCUUUGUGGUGCGCAGACAUCUAUUGGCUGAAUAAUGAACUACAAGGAGAAGUGUUAUACAGACAAAGGAGGACUACUUAGCAUGGCAGAUUAUUUGCGUUCUGGACGGGUGCUCAGCCCAAGGACAGUGCCUGACACGGAGCUGAAUGACUCUGAUUUGUAUUUAGCAGCUCGGCUUCCUGCAGUCCCUUCACAGCCUCUGAUGAAGGCUUAAACUGGAAGUCUUGGGAUGCUGCGGAGGCCUGUUGCAUUCGGACACGCUGGUUCCAGGAUCUAGGGGGGCAGGUUUGCAAGGUCCCACAUCCCAAGGAAGGGCUCAGGCGAGGAUUGUGAACCCGGCUGAGAGUACCUACAAGCCCAGGGACCCGCUUCUUUUCCAGCCCAGCUGGUUUAGAAGCCAGGGAGCUGCUGGUUGAAUCCACUCAGUAUAGACCCAUCCUCCACUGAUGUUGUGCCAGGAUAAAUUUAGGAUGGUCAUUCUUGUGUAGGAGUGAAUUUAGGCUGUCAACUCACUGAACUCCAUGCCCCAAUACAUAGGAUGGCAAAGGGAGCAGGAUGGAGCUGUAAUCCAGGGUUUCAUACUGGGAGAAGGGGCUAUGUAAACUCUAUGGGAUAACUUCAGAACUGAGCAAUGGACUGGGUGACAGUAAAAUUAGUAGGAGCCUGAGAUGGUAAAUGAUAUAGUCCCUUCUGUCACAAAAUGUUGGAUGGCUGCAGUAUGUGCUGCACUGUGACAGCUUGGAAGUCCUAGGUGUCCUGAGAUUUGUGGCAAGAAAUAUCUUUCAAGAAGAAUUUAUAGUGAAGGGAGUUUCCAAAAGAGCUUCCCCCUCCACCCCCACUACUUGUUAUCUUUGCUUAUGCUAUCUUUAGCUUGUGGCCACAAAAACCCUAUUGCUAACAACAUUGAAACUACAUGUUUCCUGGAAGGGGCAGAGGAAGAAUUGGGCCUGUUUUAGUUGGCGGGCAAACAAACUACUCCAGCCAAGAAGGCUGUGGUGGGGGGAAGUCUUUCUGCAAAACUGGUGCAGACUUGGCCAUGAUAAUUAGUUGCUGCUGGUUUGUACACUUAACAGUCUGAAGAGAGACAGGCAGCAUGGUCUGACCACAGAGGUAAGAGCUAAGGACAGUUGGUUUUUAUGCCUGGCUCUGUCAAAGCCUGGUUGUGUUUGCUUAGGGUCAGAUUGCUGAAACUAGUACGAACAGCACAAAGUGAAUUUAAAGUUGUUGGAGAU